rnacentral:rRNA from 1 species
GCUUGUCUCAAAGAUUAAGCCAUGCAUGUCUAAGUAUAGUACCUUAUACUGCGAAACUGCGAAUGGCUCAUUAAAUCAGUUAUAAUUCAUUUGAUGGUACUUACUACUCGGAUAACCGUAGUAAUUCUAGAGCUAAUACGUGCGUAAAUCCCGACUUCUGGAAGGGACGUAUUUAUUAGAUAAAAGGCCAGCCGGGUUUCGGCCCGUUCUUUGGCGACUCAUGAUAACUUCACGAAUCGCAUGGCCUUGUGCCGGCGAUGUUUCAAUCAAAUAUCUGCCCUAUCAACUGUCGACUGUGAUAUAGACGCUCACAGUGGUUUUGACGGGUAACGGGGAAUCAGGGUUCGAUUCCGGAGAGGGAGCCUUAAAAACGGCUACCACAUCCAAGGAAGGCAGCAGG